rnacentral:lncRNA from 1 species
GGUCAUAAACUGGAUAGAGGUUGAACAGUCUGACAGCACGAAGCACCCGGUCCAUCCUAAGGCGACACAGAUUGCCCGGAAGCUGAGAAUAAAGAUGAAGAACCCUUAAUGAUCUUCCAGGGGCUUGUUAUAGUAAUAAUGUGUACCAAAAUUCUACUAUUGUGAAAUCAGAUCCGAGGAGGAUCUGAUAUGAUGUUGAUGAUGCUUGUGUCACUGAGAUAGUUGAAGAAAUUUGUUUAAUUUGUGAAGUGUCAGGCUUAUUUCCUUGCUUGACAAUAAGAAUGAUCUUGUUAACAAGUAUCAAGUUAGAGGUCGAACGAUGCGACAGGCAACAGCACGAAGCAGAUGGCGGUCCAUCCUAAGGCGACACAGAUUGCCCGAAAGCCGAGAAUAAAGAUGAAGAACCCUUAAUGAUCUUCAAGGGGCUUGUUCUGUAGUGAUGUGUACCAAAAAUCUACUAUUGUAAAAUCAGAUUUGAGAGGAUCUGAUAUGAAUGUUGAUGAUGCUUGUGUCACUAAUGUAGUUCAAGAAAUUUGCUUUAUUUGUGAAAUGUCAGGCUGAUUUCCUUGCCUCGCAAUAAGAAUGAUGGAUGAACUUGUUUUUUUUC